AUAUAAAAUGACUCUCGGCAACGGAUAUCUCGGCUCUUGCAUCGAUGAAGAACGUAGCGAAAUGCGAUACUUGGUGUGAAUUGCAGAAUCCCGUGAACCAUCGAGUUUUUGAACGCAAGUUGCGCCCAAAGCCAUUAGGCUGAGGGCACGCCUGCCUGGGUGUCACAC
rnacentral:rRNA from 1 species